rnacentral:rRNA from 1 species
CACGAACCGGAUUAGAUACCCGGGUAGUCCUAGGUGUAAACGCUGUGAACUUGGUGUCGGGAGUCCGCAAUGGGCCCCCGGUGCCGGAGUGAAGAUGUUAAGUUCACUGCCUGGGGAGUACGGUCGCAAGGCUGAAACUUAAAGGAAUUGGCGGGGGAGCACUGCAACGGGAGGAGCGUGCGGUUUAAUUGGAUUCAACGCCGGAAAACUCACCAGGGCCGACUGUUAUAUGAAGACCAGCGUAAUGAGCUUGUCGGAUUUUCAGAGAGGUGGUGCAUGGCCGUCGUCAGUUCGUACUGUAAAGCGUUCUGUUAAGUCAGAUAACGAACGAGACCCUCAUCUCUAUUUGCUACCUGUCUCUCCGGAGGCGGCGCACUAUAGAGAGACCGCUGGUGUUAAACCAGAGGAAGGCGAGGGCAACGACAGGUCAGUAUGCCCCGAAUGUCCUGGGCUACACGCGCGCUACAAAGGACGGGACAAUGGGAAGCCAGGCCGAGAGGCCGAGCUAACCCGAAACCCGUUCAUAGUUCGGAUCGAGGGCUGUAACUCGCCCUCGUGAAGCUGGAUUCCGUAGUAAUCGUGUUUCAAUAUAGCACGGUGAAUAUGCCCCUGCUCCUUGCACACACCGCCCGUCAA